GUCGCGCCUUUUCCACCUGCCCUGGAGACAUGGACAACCCCGGGAAACUGGGAUUAAUCCGUGAUAGGUCAUCUCAUCUGGAAGGAGAGAUGGCUUAAAGGGGUGCGCGGGCUUCUUCUGCGUAUCUGCUCCAGGAUGGGACUGCGUCCGAUCAGGCUGUUGGCGGGGUAAUGGCCCACCAAACCAGUAACCGGUACGGGCCUUGAGAGAGGUGGCCCGGAGAUGGACACUGAGAGAAGGGUCCAGGUCCUACGGGGCGCAGCAGGCGCGAAACCUUCGCAAUGCGCGAAAGCGUGACGAGGUUAAUCCGAGUGGUCUCCGCUGAGGAGACCUUUUGUCAGCUGUAAAUAGGCAGGCGAAUAAGGGGAGGGCAAGCCUGGUGUCAGCCGCCGCGGUAAUACCAGCUCCUCGAGUGGUCGGGGCGAUUAUUGGGCCUAAAGCAUCCGUAGCCGGUUCCGUAGGUCCUCUGUUAAAUCCAACCGCUUAACGGUUGACCUGCAGAGGAUACCGCGGGACU
rnacentral:rRNA from 1 species